rnacentral:rRNA from 1 species
GACGAACGCUGGCGGCGUGCUUAACACAUGCAAGUCGAACGAAGUGGCGAACGGGUGAGUAACGCGUAAUCAACCUGCCCUUCAGAGGGGGACAACAGUUGGAAACGACUGCUAAUACCGCAUACUGAAGGAGGGGAUUGCGUCUGAUUAGCUAGUUGGAGGGGUAACGGCCCACCAAGGCGAUGAUCAGUAGCCGGUCUGAGAGGGUGAUCGGCCACUAGGUGACUGAGACACGGCCCUUACGCCUACGGGAGGCAGCAGUGGGGAAUAUUGUACAAUGGACCAAAGUCUGAUCCAGCAAUUCUGUGUGCACGAUGAAGUUUUUCGGAAUGUAAAGUGCUUUCAGUUGGGAAGCGGUACCAACAGAAGAAGUGACGGCUAAAUACGUGCCAGCCGCCGCGGUAAUUC